GGGACGCGCGUGCUUACACAUGCAGUCGACGAUGAAGCCCUUCGGGGUGGAUUAGUGGCGAACGGGUGAGUAACACGUGGGCAAUCUGCCCUUCACUCUGGGACAAGCCCUGGAAACGGGGUCUAAUACCGGAUAUGAUCACCGGCCGCAUGGUCUGGUGAUGGAAAGCUCCGGCGGUGAAGGAUGAGCCCGCGGCCUAUCAGCUUGUUGGUGGGGUGAUGGCCUACCAAGGCGACGACGGGUAGCCGGCCUGAGAGGGCGACCGGCCACACUGGGACUGAGACACGGCCCAGACUCCUACGGGAGGCAGCAGUGGGGAAUAUUGCACAAUGGGCGAAAGCCUGAUGCAGCGACGCCGCGUGAGGGAUGACGGCCUUCGGGUUGUAAACCUCUUUCAGCAGGGAAGAAGCGAGAGUGACGGUACCUGCAGAAGAAGCGCCGGCUAACUACGUGCCAGCAGCCGCGGUAAUACGUAGGGCGCAAGCGUUGUCCGGAAUUAUUGGGCGUAAAGAGCUCGUAGGCGGCUUGUCGCGUCGGAUGUGAAAGCCCGGGGCUUAACCCCGGGUCUGCAUUCGAUACGGGCAGGCUAGAGUUCGGUAGGGGAGAUCGGAAUUCCUGGUGUAGCGGUGAAAUGCGCAGAUAUCAGGAGGAACACCGGUGGCGAAGGCGGAUCUCUGGGCCGAUACUGACGCUGAGGAGCGAAAGCGUGGGGGCGCAAAAACGAAAGGGCGCGAAGCGGGGGAAAG
rnacentral:rRNA from 1 species